GGGGGUAGAUCUAUCUCAUGACGAGUGGUGGAAUACUUUGACUCAUGAGAGAGAAGCUGAGGCGAAGGCGUCUACCUAGAGGGUUUCUGUCGAUCAAGGGCGAGAGUAGGAGUAUCCAACAGGAUUAGAGACCCUGGUAGUUCCUACCUUAAACGAUGCCGACAGGAGUUUGUCAUUUGUUAAUGGCAGAAUCUUUGGAGAAAUCAUAGUUCUUGGGCUCUGGGGGAACUACGACCGCAAGGCUGAAACUUGAAGGAAUUGACGGAAGGGCACACCAGGGGUGGAGCCUGUGGCUUAAUUUGAAUCAACACGGGGAAACUUACCAGGACCAGAUGUUUUUUAUGACUGACAGGCUUCGGGUCUUUCAGGAUAUUGUUUUUGGUGGUGCAUGGCCGUUGGUGGUGCGUGGGUUGACCUGUCUAGCGUUGAUUCAGCUAACGAGCGAGAUUAUCGCCAAUUAUUUACUUUGCCGAAGUCCUUCGGUUAAAGUUCUAAUUGGGACUCCCUGCGAUUUUAGCAGGUGGAAGAGGGUAGCAAUAACAGGUCCGUGAUGCCCUUUAGAUGCUCUGGGCUGCACGCGUGCUACAAUGUUAGGAUCAAUAGGACUGCGAGCCUGAGAGGGUGCGCUACUCUUAUAAUCCCUAACGUAGUUGGGAUUGACGUUUGUAAUCAGCGUCAUGAACCAGGAAUCCCUUGUAAAUGUGUGUCAACAACGCACGUUGAAUACGUCCCUGCCCUUUGUACACACCGCCCGUCGCUCCUACCGAUUGGAUGACUCGGUGAAAUCACCGGAUGCUUACGAGCAGAAAGUGAUUAAAUCACGUUAUCUAGAGGAAGGAGAAGUCGUAACAAGGUAACGGUAGGUGAACCUGCCGUUGGAUC
rnacentral:rRNA from 1 species